ensembl:lncRNA
AUCUUGUGGUGAGAAAAUGAACUUUAUUUUGACAGAAUCAGCAUGUCUGUUCACACAAGCACGACACUUUUGGCGCUACUCAGGACUCAUUUUGUUUGUGGACGUGAUCGCGAGAGACGAGAUGUCCUUCCCGCCUCAACAUCACUUCUGAAACGACAAAAAGGACAACGCUGUUACUCAGAAAGGUCGUCGCAGCUCGUGGAAUCGUUGUGGCAACAGACGCAACGGAAGAAAACGACACACAGGAGGGCGUGUUGUGACACACUUUACUGCCACCCUUUGAAAUCAGGUUUGGGGGGGUUGGGGUGUGUUACCUCGUCAGAGUCUGAAGAUGAGGAGCCGGAGCCUUUCCCUUCAGGCUUCGCCUUCUUCUUCUUCUUCUCCUCGUCCUUCUUUUUGUCUUUGCCGCCCUUCUCCUUGGACGCUUUGUCGUCCUUCUUCCCCUUGGACUCUCCCUAAGGGGGUGCAAAAGUGGACCGGAUCAUUGAUCGUGUCGCCGUUGUCACAGCGAUAGAGGUUCGAGUGCACUGGUCGUAAUAAUGCAGCGGUAGGACCUUACCUGCGCGAUCCAUCGUGUCUCCUGUUCACAAACCACAGUGACCACACGGACUCAAACUUAAGUACCUGGAUUAGCCACACCUCAAGCAUGUGAUUCAAGCCUAACCCCGCCCCCCAAACCGCCGCUCCCCUUGAGCGUUCACCCAGUGUAGUGUUACGGUUAUGAGGGGUAGAAUGCUACUCCUACUCCACCCUGGAGAAGGCUGGGACUGAACGUUCACAUUAUACAACAUGUUUGCUUUGGAACAAAAACAUGUCCACUUUAAUUAUUUUCUCUUGAGGGCAAAAUGCCGUCGGGCCUGACAGCAGCAUCCUGUUCCUUUUAACAGACAAACGUUGGAGCAGGAUGAGGAUCCACGCGUUGCUCAGAACACACGCCUACAGGUGGAGAUGAAACGUCGUCCGCAGCAUGACGACUGUUCUGAAGUUUUGUAGCUUUCUAAUCAUUUUUUUUUAACUGAUUUAUUCAUGUACAUUUUCUAAAGACAGACUACUCAUUUUUUGGGGGGGUUAUCUCAACACGAUCCGGACAAUUAUAAACGCGUGCAGCGACAAACAGCGACCUUGGUGAGGGUUUUUCACGCCGCUGUGGUGGAAUAAACACACUUUAAGCAACACAGGAAGUUUAUGGCGAGAAGCAGCGUUCAAUCAGGUUUAUUUAUACAUCAACAAGAGGAAGGAACGUCGGUACAACUGCACACAGUCACUUUGCUUCACAGACGAGGUUAGAAGAGACCAUCGGCGCUGGAAGCAUCACUCCUGAAACGACAACCAAGCAAGAAUUCAGAAUACAGAUGUGUAUUUACAGCGUGAUACUUUAUACCUACCGAUACUAAUGAGAACACGUAUUUUAGUGUACAUUUAGGCAGCAGGCAUUCUGAGCAGCAAGGGACACUUUGAAUGGGAUUUGCUUAUUUCAGAUUCCACAGUGGCAAAUAGUCUAUUGUUUCCUUUGGAGGUCCCAGUUCCUCUC